rnacentral:lncRNA from 1 species
GGACAUCUUAAACGUACCUAUAUUUAUUUUUCAUGAAAAUUAGACAAUUAUUUUUUGAUAAAAAUAAGAGAACCUAAAUAAUAAAGUUAUUCUACAGAAGAAUUAAAUACAAAGUAAAGAAAAUGAUUGUAAAAAUUUAAGUAAUUAUACAAAUAAUAUGGAAUAAUAAAACCUAAUAUUAAUGAAUAAUAAUUCAAUUUAAUGAAUAAUAAUCCAAUUUGAUAAUAAUCCAAUUUAAUGAAUAAUCCACCAAUUUGAUAAAAAAAUAAUCCUAAUAUAAAACAUGGUGAUGAAUAAUAAUCCAAUUUGAUAAUAAUCCAAUUUAAUGAAUAAUCCACCAAUUUGAUAAAAAAAAAAACCCUAAUAUAAAACAUGGUGAUGAAUAAUAAUCCAAUUUAAUGAAUAAUAAUCCAAUUUGAUAAUAAUCCAAUUUAAUGAAUAAUCCACCAAUUUGAUAAAAAAAUAAUCCUAAUAUAAAACAUGGUGAUGAAUAAUAAUCCAAUUUGAUAAUAAUAAUCCAAUUUAAUGAAUAAUCCACCAAUUUGAUAAAAAAAUAAUCCUAAUAUAAAACAUGGUGAUUAAUAAUAAUCCAAUUUAAUGAAUAAUAAUCCAAUUUAAUGAAUAAUCCACCAAUUUGAUAAAAAAAUUUCCUUAUAUAAAAGAAUAAUAAUCCAAUUUGAUAAUAAAAAAACCUAAUAUUAAUGAAUAAUAAUCCAAUUUGAUAAUAAAAAAAUCUAAUAUUAAAGAAUAAUAAUCCAAUUUGAUAAUAAAAAAAACCUAAUAUUAAUGAAUAAUAAUCCAAUUUGAUAAUGAAAAUGGUAAGGGAAAUAAAAUAAUAAAUAAUAUUAAACAUAUUAAAAUUAUCCUAGGGAAUAAUUAUACAACAUUACUUAAUUACUUAAAAAAAUUAACAUUAACAUUACUUAAUUACUUACAAAAAUUAACAUGCAAGUAUUAAUUACUUAAAAAGAUU